AGAGUUUGAUCCUGGCUCAGGAUGAACGCUAGCGGCAGGCUUAACACAUGCAAGUCGAGGGGUAACAUUGUGCUUGCACAGAUGACGACCGGCGCACGGGUGCGUAACGCGUAUAGAACCUACCUUUUACAGAGGAAUAGCCUUUAGAAAUGAAGAUUAAUGCCUCAUGGUAUUGUAGACUGGCAUCAGUUUAUAAUUAAAGAUUUAUCGGUAAAAGAUGGCUAUGCGUCCUAUUAGUUAGUUGGUAAGGUAACGGCUUACCAAGACAGCGAUAGGUAGGGGUCCUGAGAGGGAGAUCCCCCACACUGGUACUGAGACACGGACCAGACUCCUACGGGAGGCAGCAGUGAGGAAUAUUGGACAAUGGAGGAGACUCUGAUCCAGCCAUGCCGCGUGUAGGAAGAAUGCCCUAUGGGUUGUAAACUACUUUUAUACAGGAAGAAACACUGGUAUGUAUACCAGCUUGACGGUACUGUAAGAAUAAGGACCGGCUAACUCCGUGCCAGCAGCCGCGGUAAUACGGAGGGUCCGAGCGUUAUCCGGAAUCAUUGGGUUUAAAGGGUCCGCAGGCGGUCGAUUAAGUCAGAGGUGAAAUCCCAUAGCUCAACUAUGGAACUGCCUUUGAUACUGGUUGACUUGAGUCAUAUGGAAGUAGAUAGAAUGUGUAGUGUAGCGGUGAAAUGCAUAGAUAUUACACAGAAUACCGAUUGCGAAGGCAGUCUACUACGUAUGUACUGACGCUGAGGGACGAAAGCGUGGGGAGCGAACAGGAUUAGAUACCCUGGUAGUCCACGCCGUAAACGAUGGAUACUAGUUGUUGGGAUUUAUCUCAGUGACUAAGCGAAAGUGAUAAGUAUCCCACCUGGGGAGUACGGUCGCAAGACUGAAACUCAAAGGAAUUGACGGGGGCCCGCACAAGCGGUGGAGCAUGUGGUUUAAUU
rnacentral:rRNA from 1 species